CCUUCGAUAGCUCAGUUGGUAGAGCGGGGGACUGUAGAUUUAUAAUUGUGAUCCCUAUGUCGCUGGUUCGAAUCCGGCUCGAGGAU
rnacentral:tRNA from 2 species